rnacentral:sRNA from 1 species
UUUUUUUUAAUAAAUAAUAGGUGCAUAUUACACUUUUUUAAUAGGGUCACAUUCAGUGUCGACCCUUAUGCUAAGCAAGCUAAGCGGCUGCAUAGGGUCUCCACUUUUUUUUUUUGUCAUCAAAAGUAAUAGACAAGGUAAACGUGCCAGGUAGGGGUCAAACCUACGACCUUCUG